rnacentral:rRNA from 1 species
GUCUGUGGCCACGCCACCCUGAACAAGCCCGAUGUCUGAUCUCGGAAGCUAAGCAGGGUCGGGCCUGGUUAGUACUUGGAUAGGAGACCACCUAGGAAGACCAGGUGCUGUAGGCA